rnacentral:rRNA from 1 species
GGGUUGUGAGGUUAAGCGACUAAGCGUACACGGUGGAUGCCCUGGCAGUCAGAGGCGAUGAAGGACGUGCUAAUCUGCGAUAAGCGUCGGUAAGGUGAUAUGAACCGUUAUAACCGGCGAUUUCCGAAUGGGGAAACCCAGUGUGAUUCGUCACACUAUCAUUAACUGAAUCCAUAGGUUAAUGAGGCGAACCGGGGGAACUGAAACAUCUAAGUACCCCGAGGAAAAGAAAUCAACCGAGAUUCCCCCAGUAGCGGCGAGCGAACGGGGAGCAGCCCAGAGCCUGAAUCAGUGUGUGUGUUAGUGGAAGCGUCUGGAAAGGCGCGCGAUACAGGGUGACAGCCCCGUACACAAAAAUGCACAUGCUGUGAGCUCGAUGAGUAGGGCGGGACACGUGGUAUCCUGUCUGAAUAUGGGGGGACCAUCCUCCAAGGCUAAAUACUCCUGACUGACCGAUAGUGAACCAGUACCGUGAGGGAAAGGCGAAAAGAACCCCGGCGAGGGGAGUGAAAAAGAACCUGAAACCGUGUACGUACAAGCAGUGGGAGCACGCUUAGGCGUGUGACUGCGUACCUUUUGUAUAAUGGGUCAGCGACUUAUAUUCUGUAGCAAGGUUAACCGAAUAGGGGAGCCGAAGGGAAACCGAGUCUUAACUGGGCGUUUAGUUGCAGGGUAUAGACCCGAAACCCGGUGAUCUAGCCAUGGGCAGGUUGAAGGUUGGGUAACACUAACUGGAGGACCGAACCGACUAAUGUUGAAAAAUUAGCGGAUGACUUGUGGCUGGGGGUGAAAGGCCAAUCAAACCGGGAGAUAGCUGGUUCUCCCCGAAAGCUAUUUAGGUAGCGCCUCGUGAAUUCAUCUCCGGGGGUAGAGCACUGUUUCGGCAAGGGGGUCAUCCCGACUUACCAACCCGAUGCAAACUACGAAUACCGGAGAAUGUUAUCACGGGAGACACACGGCGGGUGCUAACGUCCGUCGUGAAGAGGGAAACAACCCAGACCGCCAGCUAAGGUCCCAAAGUCAUGGUUAAGUGGGAAACGAUGUGGGAAGGCCCAGACAGCCAGGAUGUUGGCUUAGAAGCAGCCAUCAUUUAAAGAAAGCGUAAUAGCUCACUGGUCGAGUCGGCCUGCGCGGAAGAUGUAACGGGGCUAAACCAUGCACCGAAGCUGCGGCAGCGACGCUGAUGCGUUGUUGGGUAGGGGAGCGUUCUGUAAGCCUGCGAAGGUGUGCUGUGAGGCAUGCUGGAGGUAUCAGAAGUGCGAAUGCUGACAUAAGUAACGAUAAAGCGGGUGAAAAGCCCGCUCGCCGGAAGACCAAGGGUUCCUGUCCAACGUUAAUCGGGGCAGGGUGAGUCGACCCCUAAGGCGAGGCCGAAAGGCGUAGUCGAUGGGAAACAGGUUAAUAUUCCUGUACUUGGUGUUACUGCGAAGGGGGGACGGAGAAGGCUAUGUUGGCCGGGCGACGGUUGUCCCGGUUUAAGCGUGUAGGCUGGUUUUCCAGGCAAAUCCGGAAAAUCAAGGCUGAGGCGUGAUGACGAGGCACUACGGUGCUGAAGCAACAAAUGCCCUGCUUCCAGGAAAAGCCUCUAAGCAUCAGGUAACAUCAAAUCGUACCCCAAACCGACACAGGUGGUCAGGUAGAGAAUACCAAGGCGCUUGAGAGAACUCGGGUGAAGGAACUAGGCAAAAUGGUGCCGUAACUUCGGGAGAAGGCACGCUGAUAUGUAGGUGAAGUCCCUCGCGGAUGGAGCUGAAAUCAGUCGAAGAUACCAGCUGGCUGCAACUGUUUAUUAAAAACACAGCACUGUGCAAACACGAAAGUGGACGUAUACGGUGUGACGCCUGCCCGGUGCCGGAAGGUUAAUUGAUGGGGUUAGCGCAAGCGAAGCUCUUGAUCGAAGCCCCGGUAAACGGCGGCCGUAACUAUAACGGUCCUAAGGUAGCGAAAUUCCUUGUCGGGUAAGUUCCGACCUGCACGAAUGGCGUAAUGAUGGCCAGGCUGUCUCCACCCGAGACUCAGUGAAAUUGAACUCGCUGUGAAGAUGCAGUGUACCCGCGGCAAGACGGAAAGACCCCGUGAACCUUUACUAUAGCUUGACACUGAACAUUGAGCCUUGAUGUGUAGGAUAGGUGGGAGGCUUUGAAGUGUGGACGCCAGUCUGCAUGGAGCCGACCUUGAAAUACCACCCUUUAAUGUUUGAUGUUCUAACGUGGACCCGUAAUCCGGGUUGCGGACAGUGUCUGGUGGGUAGUUUGACUGGGGCGGUCUCCUCCUAAAGAGUAACGGAGGAGCACGAAGGUUGGCUAAUCCUGGUCGGACAUCAGGAGGUUAGUGCAAUGGCAUAAGCCAGCUUGACUGCGAGCGUGACGGCGCGAGCAGGUGCGAAAGCAGGUCAUAGUGAUCCGGUGGUUCUGAAUGGAAGGGCCAUCGCUCAACGGAUAAAAGGUACUCCGGGGAUAACAGGCUGAUACCGCCCAAGAGUUCAUAUCGACGGCGGUGUUUGGCACCUCGAUGUCGGCUCAUCACAUCCUGGGGCUGAAGUAGGUCCCAAGGGUAUGGCUGUUCGCCAUUUAAAGUGGUACGCGAGCUGGGUUUAGAACGUCGUGAGACAGUUCGGUCCCUAUCUGCCGUGGGCGCUGGAGAAUUGAGGGGGGCUGCUCCUAGUACGAGAGGACCGGAGUGGACGCAUCACUGGUGUUCGGGUUGUCAUGCCAAUGGCACUGCCCGGUAGCUAAAUGCGGAAGAGAUAAGUGCUGAAAGCAUCUAAGCACGAAACUUGCCCCGAGAUGAGUUCUCCCUGACUCCUUGAGAGUCCUGAAGGAACGUUGAAGACGACGACGUUGAUAGGCCGGGUGUGUAAGCGCAGCGAUGCGUUGAGCUAACCGGUACUAAUGAACCGUGAGGCUUAACCUUACAACGCCGAAG